ensembl:lncRNA
UGUAUUUAAAAGAUGGCCGUCACCAGUUAGUACAAGUAACCUCACAGCGGUAAUAUGAUUGGUCAGAUCAUUGAAUUAAACAGGCUCCAACAGCAUAUACAUGGUGCAGAGGUCUAGUUCAGGUGAAGCUAGCCGACAGCUAGCAGCUCCAGCCACCUGUGUCACCAUCCACCUGUCAGUCAAAUAGGCCACACCCCUAAUAAUGGUGAAAAAGUUUUUUUAUGAGGCUGUAAACAUGUCUACUUCUGCUCUAAUAUUAAAACGGUAAACAUAGAAGUCUAUGGAGCCUCUGGUGGACAUUACAGGAACUGCAGCUUUUUGACACUUAGAUUUGUUGGACUGCAGGUAUAAAAACUUUUAGGAAGGAGAACAGGCUCCAGUCCACCGGGCACAGACUGCUACACACAGCGCUGCAGUGGAAGCACAUUUUCUCAUGUGUGCUGAUGCUGUCAGUAUAUGAAGCUGAUAGCACUCGUGUACCUGUGCACAGCAGCUGCAGCUGUCUGCCGUCAGUGUGUUACAGCGAGUCGAACAUGACGGAGCCUGAAGGACGGAGGAGGAUCUGAUCUGUGUUCAGUCAUGUCGGCCGCAGCCUGCAGUGCAGAGAUCCACACAGGAAUGUCGAAAACACAGCGAGCGGCUUCAUUACACCCACAGGAUCACAGAAACCAUGGCAACGUGUGUGUGUGUGUGUGUGGGGGGGGGGCACGGACAGGUGGUCUGACGCAGCAGAGCAGCAGCACCCCCGCAGCUCUCAGAUGGUUCGUCCCACACAGGAGCAGAGCAGAGGGAACGGCCCACCUCUGCAGCAGGGAGGGGGGAGGACAGGAAGCUGUGAGGAGGUUACGCACUUUUACCUGAAUGUGUCAGACACGGAAUUACACUGAAAUAAGUGUUUCGGGUGGUUUUCUUUUACUUUUUAAAAAAACACUUUAAACUGUGAAGUGACGGCGGCCGGGGGGCUGCUGCAGGGCGACAGAUGCUGGAGGAGAGAUAAGACGAGAUCACAGGCGGAAAUAUUUAACCUCCUGUUUAUCCAGCAGUGCAGGAAGCCGUCAGAUUAUUCAAGUAGUAAUACCGCAAAGUACAAGUACUCCUUCUGUGCAAACCCUGCCCAGAGAUGAAUUUUCUUAAUUAUAGAUUGUUAAUAUUCUCAUUUGAAUAAUUCUUAGCUGAUUAUUUGAUUUGUAAAAAAUGAAAAAUGAGAAAAAUUCUCGUCAAGGUCAAAAAUCCAAAAUUAUUUCCAAGAAAAGAGAAAAAUAUUUGAAUUAAAAUGUUAUGAAAUAUUUAUUCAUGUUGUAGUUAAAGCUGUAGUAGGAUGGUUAGGAGGUCACAUUAAAUGUAGUGUCGUCUGCUGCCUUCUGUCAGAAGCUCUAAAUCAGUAAAGAAGUAAAGCUUCUGCAAGCAGCUCAAACUGUUUUCCUCCAAAACUUCAAACUUUGUUUUGCUGCCUGAUGAUGCAUCACAGCUGGAGCCGUCUGCAUGCACAGUGGUUCCCAACAUAUGGGUCGGAGCCCUCAGUAGGGUCACCUGACGAAUGUGGAGGUUGUUUUAUGAGAGGAAAGAAGACAAAAAGCUGCCGUGGUCUUUUUUCUGAGAUUUUUAUUUUGCAUUUAAAGAGUGUUUGAAAAUAAGAAGCUGUUAUGGAGCUCCAGAAUAUUCUUGAACACCCAUCCAUUCAUUUUAUUUUUAUUUUCAUCUUCUUUAGGAAUAAAAAUCAGUCUUCA